rnacentral:sRNA from 1 species
UUUUGCUGCGGGCGGGCUCAGUGAUGCCCGCGGCAUCGAUUCAACAAUGUGUCACGGGAAGAACGCGGCACUUCGGGGCGUU